rnacentral:rRNA from 1 species
GAUGAACGCUGGCGGCGUGCCUAAUACAUGCAAGUCGAGCGAACAGACGAGGAGCUUGCUCCUCUGACGUUAGCGGCGGACGGGUGAGUAACACGUGGAUAACCUACCUAUAAGACUGGGAUAACUUCGGGAAACCGGAGCUAAUACCGGAUAAUAUAUUUAACCGCAUGGUUCAAUAGUGAAAGACGGUUUUGCUGUUACUUAUAGAUGGAUCCGCGCCGCAUUAGCUAGUUGGUAAGGUAACGGCUUACCAAGGCAACGAUGCGUAGCCGACCUGAGAGGGUGAUCGGCCACACUGGAACUGAGACACGGUCCAGACUCCUACGGGAGGCAGCAGUAGGGAAUCUUCCGCAAUGGGCGAAAGCCUGACGGAGCAACGCCGCGUGAGUGAUGAAGGUCUUCGGAUCGUAAAACUCUGUUAUUAGGGAAGAACAAAUGUGUAAGUAACUAUGCACGUCUUGACGGUACCUAAUCAGAAAGCCACGGCUAACUACGUG